AUUGAACGCUGGCGGCAGGCUUAACACAUGCAAGUCGAGCGGGGGAAGGUAGCUUGCUACCGGACCUAGCGGCGGACGGGUGAGUAAUGCUUAGGAAUCUGCCUAUUAGUGGGGGACAACAUCUCGAAAGGGAUGCUAAUACCGCAUACGUCCUACGGGAGAAAGCAGGGGAUCUUCGGACCGUGCGCUAAUAGAUGAGCCUAAGUCGGAUUAGCUAGUUGGUGGGGUAAAGGCCUACCAAGGCGACGAUCUGUAGCGGGUCUGAGAGGAUGAUCCGCCACACUGGGACUGAGACACGGCCCAGACUCCUACGGGAGGCAGCAGUGGGGAGUAUUGGACAAUGGGGGGAACCCUGAUCCAGCCAUGCCGCGUGUGUGAAGAAGGCCUUAUGGUUGUAAAGCACUUUAAGCGAGGAGGAGGCUACUUUAGUUAAUACCUAGAGAUAGUGGACGUUACUCGCUGAAUAAGCACCGGCUAACUCUGUGCCAGCAGCCGCGGUAA
rnacentral:rRNA from 1 species